AAACAAGAUGAACAUUUUUUUAUCAUUUGUACUCGACAGUUGACUUAUAUUAUUUAUUUUAUUCAUGUAAAAGUAGAAAACAUGAAAACCUAAAAAUAAUAUUUAAAAAUAUAAUGUGAAAAAAUUGAAAAUGCUCAGAAUCCUGAUCUUACAGGUAUUGUACUUGUUCAACUAAUUUUGCAAGCUAUAUCAAUGUUAGAAAACAUAAGAGCUAAAGUCAAUGGGAUUGUUUCUGAUAGAGCAGUGAAAGGUGCGCGAAGUGUGUUCGAGAUUUCUUCCAUACCUCCGCUGCUGUCGUGAACACCAGUCGUAUGAGACCGGCGUGCCACUCAACACCAGGAAAACGAGACUUCAUAUUAUAACCAGUAGCCCUACUUAGGUAUGGGCAAUGGGUGGGGGUGAUUUGCAUAAGGAUCGCAUCGAUUGGCAGUGAACCGUUGUGGCACAGUGAAGUUGGGAGUAGUUUUGUACUGUAUUAUAAAAUUAUCCGUACGAGUACGUACACAUACGGUGCACGUCAAAACCAUUAACCCGCUGCCAUUGUAACUGCCAGUUUUCACAUAACUACCGGUCCUUCGUUUCGGCACGUGUGUUUCGUGUACAGCGCCUGAGUACGUGUCAAACAGUUGCCGAAGUGGAAAUCUUCCUGACAAUUCGUUUAAUUCAAAUGGAAACUACCGAAGCUAAGACAAACGAAGAAUUGGAAAUAACCGAAAUUGAGAAAAACGAACAAUUGGAAACUACCGAAGCAAAGAUAAACGAAGAAUUAAAGAUCACACCAGAACUACAUGAAACCAAAGAAGAAAAAAUUAAACCUAAUUCUCGGUUAAAGAAGCGCCGACCCAGAUUAAAAUUUAAACAGCCUUCACGCGCGAGACGUCGUGAAAUUAGAGCUGCGGCUAGAGCUGAGGCUGCGGCCAUGGCUAUAGCUGACUCUUCUCUAAAUACCGAACGAAAAUCCAGUAAGCAGCUCGAGUGCGCUGACGAGGACAAUGUCUCCACGUCGAGACAAAAAAUACAGGAACCGUCUCCUGAAUGUUCAAACAAUAUAUGAUAAGUAUGAUAAUAUAAUAUAUAUUUGUUAAUAAUAAAAUCAAUGUGAUGCCAUCAA